GAUGAACGCUAGCGAUAGGCUUAACACAUGCAAGUCGAGGGACCGGCGCCCGGGUGCGUAACGCGUCUGCAACUUGCCUCACAGAGGGGGAUAACCCGUCGAAAGACGGACUAAUACCGCUUACUGUUAGAUAUGCAUGCGUCCCAUUAGCUAGUUGGUGAGGUAACGGCUCACCAAGGCCACGAUGGGUAGGGGAACUGAGAGGUUGAACCCCAAGACUGGGACGGAGAAACGGAACAGAAGCCUACGGGAGGCAGCAGUGAGGAAUAUGGGUCAAUGGGCGAGAGCCUGAAGCAGACAUGCCGCGUGGAGGAAGAAGGCUUAGGGUUGUAAAGGACUUUUGUCAGGGAAGCGGUACCGGAAGAAUAAGCACCGGCUAACUACGUGCCAGCAGGCGCGGUAAUUC
rnacentral:rRNA from 1 species